AGCGGCAUGGCAAAACCGCAAUCCUAUCAUUGAAGAAAUCUGGUCCUGAACUUCCUGCACUCUUAACCCGGUUCUCAGCUGGCAUUGCUGGGACUGGUCUCGCUGUUCUCUUCUCUGUUGUCUGCAAAUUAGCCUGUGGGAGGGCACCCUUUUGUGCAUCAAAACUUUUCACUACAGGUUUUGGGUUUGGGCUGGUCUGGCUUUCCUGGGCAGUGAAUAGACUGAGCGACACAAUUGCAUAUGUCAGCAAGAAUGCAAGUAAGUGAGGUAGAAAGGAUGAAGAUAUGCUGGAAACCGUGGAUAAAAAAUGUGGCUAAAUUUCUUUUGAGGCUCUGAGCUUAAAUUUGAAGACUGGAAUUGCUAUGCUUAAGCUAGACUGAGAAUUCUGCUGAGGGAAAAUGAGACCAAAAUUAGAAACAAAGAUUGAUUAGGGAGAGAUUCAUUUUAUCAAAUUAAUGUUCCCUUUCCCUUGCAUGAAGUACAACUCUGAAAUGAUGAUGAUUGUCGGCACAAAAGUGGAUGAAGGUAUCCACAGCAUAAUUUGGAAAUGAAUUUUAGAAUGAGGAUGUCCAUAUAUGGCUGUGAAUGUUAGAAUGAGGAAUUACCGGAAAUAAUGGUAAAAGUAUAGAUAUUCAAACUCUUUGGUGAGUUCAAGACUUCAAGUACUACAUAAGAUAACAUGAGAUGGACUUGUCCACAGAAUAAUGCAAAUGCAUUUUUUUUUUUCUUGAAUUGGUAUUAUGAUCUUUUGUUUUUUACUUCCUGGAUUCCACUGGUGCUGACCUCACAACAGUAGACAAUUAUUAUAGUUAUGCUGGAAGGCCUGAUAGAUGUGAAUGUCUUGUUCAAGUUACUUCUGUUUUUUCCUCUUCCUCUAUCUCUCUCUUUUAAUUUUAAAAAAAUUCCUAUCUAAUGGUUCCUCGCUGUUAGCAGGUCUGAAAAAAUAAAGCUCAAGCCAUCGCUAAAGAAGAAGAAUAGCAGGAGAGGUAUUUCAGAAAGGGAUCUCUACAAAAGAAACUACUUCCAUGCAUGUGAGAGCCUUCUAUCCUUGAUGAUGGACAAGAAGCGGCAUGGCAAAACCGCAAUCCUAUCAUUGAAGAAAUCUGGUCCUGAACUUCCUGCACUCUUAACCCGGUUCUCAGCUGGCAUUGCUGGGACUGGUCUCGCUGUUCUCUUCUCUGUUGUCUGCAAAUUAGCCUGUGGGAGGGCACCCUUUUGUGCAUCAAAACUUUUCACUACAGGUUUUGGGUUUGGGCUGGUCUGGCUUUCCUGGGCAGUGAAUAGACUGAGCGACACAAUUGCAUAUGUCAGCAAGAAUGCAAGUAAGUUAGGUAUGAAGGAUGAAGAUAUGCUGGAAACU
rnacentral:lncRNA from 1 species